AGUGAACGCUGGCGGUAGGCCUAACACAUGCAAGUCGAACGGCAGCACAGUAAGAGCUUGCUCUUACGGGUGGCGAGUGGCGGACGGGUGAGGAAUACAUCGGAAUCUACUUUUUCGUGGGGGAUAACGUAGGGAAACUUACGCUAAUACCGCAUACGACCUACGGGUGAAAGCAGGGGAUCUUCGGACCUUGCGCGAUUGAAUGAGCCGAUGUCGGAUUAGCUAGUUGGCGGGGUAAAGGCCCACCAAGGCGACGAUCCGUAGCUGGUCUGAGAGGAUGAUCAGCCACACUGGAACUGUGACACGGUCCAGACUCCUACGGGAGGCAGCAGUGGGGAAUAUUGGACAAUGGGCGCAAGCCUGAUCCAGCCAUACCGCGUGGGUGAAGAAGGCCUUCGGGUUGUAAAGCCCUUUUGUUGGGAAAGAAAAGCAGCAGGUUAAUACCCCGCUGUUCUGACGGUACCCAAAGAAUAAGCACCGGCUAACUUCCUG
rnacentral:rRNA from 1 species